CCCGUACAAUGAGAAUCCAUUUGAUCAGAGAGAGACCAAAUCCACAGAUUGCACCAUACCUUCCAGCUAUGGUAUUUGUUAUACAGAAGGAUAAACAAAAUCCAAUCCAGUUGAAAAUAAAUGCCAUGAAAAAUGCCAACAUGAAGAUGCCAUCAUUGCCCACUCUAAGCUGAUCUGCAUCACUGAAAUCAUCCCGUGGUGGAUACUCUUCUUCACGCUGGGCAACUUCUGCUGCAGCAGCUGCCAUUGCUGCAGCUUUGGCCUUCUCAGCUUCAUCGUAAGUAGGAAGAGAGGUAGCUACACUGUAUGGAGGUGGUACAGGAUAAAAUUCAUUGUGUGUUUCUGAGGUUGCAGCUGCUUCUACAUCUAUGCUACAGUAAGGUGGAGGGGAGGUAUCGGCUUCAGAUAAGGCUGCUGUCUGAGGAGUCUGUGUAGUCUCUGUAGAAGUAGAAGGCUGCUCAGCCACUGAAGACUCUGGAGGGUCAUCCUCGUUGUGAAGCACUUGGUAGCGGCUGGCGGGCUGGUGGUGCUCCAUCCCUGCCGCCGCCGAAGCUCCGCCACUCGCCCUUCCCCCACCCCCCCCGCCGGCGCCGCCGCUGCCGCCGCUUCGGCCC
rnacentral:lncRNA from 1 species